AGGAUCUCCAAAAUCUAGAGGAGAUACUAGUUGUUUUUUGUGAACAAAUGGAGGAAAUAAUAGCAUCAGAAGAAGAGGAAGAGAAUCACAAGGGAGAAGGAAGUAAUGCAACCAUAACAUUUACUCUUCCCAACUUAAGGCAAUUGUCGUUUUUUGAGUUACCAAAAUUGGAGAGAAUCUGUUGUGAAAAGGGAGUCAUGGUCUGUGAUUCUCUUCAGAAUAUUGAAAUACGGAAAUGUAGGAACCUAAAGAGGAUCCCUCUGCAUCUACCCUUGCUAGACAAUGGCCAGCCAUAUCUUCCUCCCUCUCUCAAACUAAUUGAGGUAUCUCCAAAAAGAUGGUGGGAAUCAUUGAAGUGGGAUCAUCCCAACGCUAAGAAUGCCCUUUUACCUCUCUGUCAAUUCAUUGAAGAAAUUCCAUCACCAAAACAGAUUCCCCCACAAAUGUUAAUGUAUUAAGGGCAAUGGUGUUUCAUCAAUCGGCUAAGAAGAGGAACUUUACGUGUACUGUUCUCCAGCCAUGCAAAUUCAUUUCUCCAAGCCCUGGUUCAAAGGUUCUCUAAAUCACAUACCAGGCUCUCUUCAAUCCAUCUUUUGGGAAGAACUUCAAUCAAUGCUUGUUCAUUUCUGUAAUAUAGUUUAUGGAGUAAAUGCAGAAAGCACAUUAAGCAGUUUAUCUUUCUAUGUGAUGGUUUGCUUGAUAAUUCCAUCCUGUAAUUCAUUGUCAAUUCUUAAACAGUUAUAAUGCUAUUUCUGCUUCAUUA